rnacentral:rRNA from 1 species
CCUACGGGAGGCAGCAGUGGGGGAUAUUGCACAAUGGGGGAAACCCUGAUGCAGCGACGCCGCGUGUGGGAAGACGGUCCUCUGGAUUGUAAACCACUGUCCCCAGGGACGAAGAUGACGGUACCUGGGGAGGACGCUCCGGCUAACUACGUGCCAGCAGCCUCGGUCAUACGUAGGGAGCGAGCGUUGUCCGGAAUUACUGGGUGUAAAGGGAGCGUAGGCGGGACUGCAAGUUGGGUGUCAAAUCUACCGGCUCAACCGGUAGCCGCACUCAAAACUGCAGUUCUUGAGUGAAGUAGAGGCAGGCGGAAUUCCUAGUGUAGCGGUGAAAUGCGUAGAUAUUAGGAGGAACACCAGUGGCGAAGGCGGCCUGCUGGGCUGUGACUGACGCUGAGGCUCGAAAGUGUGGGGAGCAAACAGGAUUAGAUACCCUAGUAGUC